rnacentral:rRNA from 1 species
AGUAAAAUCUUCAAAGUAAGUUAUGUGGGUCAAGAUAUAGUGAUUAAUUGGAGUUCUAGUUCAUUUACUUUGAGAAAAUUAGAGUGUUUAAAGCAGCCUCUUGGGGCACUGAAUACAUUAGCAUGGGAUAAUAAAAUAGGAUCUUCACAAUAUAUUUUAUUGGUUUAAAUUGGAUAUGAAGAUAAUGAUUAAUAGGGACAGUUGGGGGUAUUCAUAUUGGGUGGUUAGCGGUGAAAUGCUCGGAUCCAUUCAAGAUGAACUAAAGCGAAAGCAUUUACCAAGGAUGUUUUCAUUAAUCAAGAACGAAAGUUAAGGGAUCGAAGACGAUUAGAUACCGUCGUAGUCUUAACUAUAAACUAUGCCGACCAGGGAUAUGAGUUGUUAGGAAUAUGCGAAAGUAUAUUCAAUUUCUUCUUAUGGACCUUGUGAGAAAUCAUAAG